rnacentral:lncRNA from 1 species
AUUAUUCUCCAUGAAAUGCGGUAGAGAAAAUGUGGUUUCGUUCGUUUAAUCAUUUUAGUCAAAUUAAAGGUUUCAAUCACAUGAUGGAUAAAUAAUUUAUACAGUUUUAAAGUUUUUGAAACUUGAUAUCACCAACAUCACAAUGACAUCAUACUAUUUAUUUAUUUAUUUUGAAAGUAAAUAAUUAUGAAGACGAAAGUGUAAGAUGAAAUGACUUGUGGGUUGAGAGGGUAAUGAUACAACUGCAGAAGAUUUUAAACAUGUAAAAAGGGUCAACUUCGAUUUUUAGAGUUUUUAUUAUUAUUCUUGCAAUCAAUAAAGUUU